rnacentral:lncRNA from 1 species
AUGCCCUGAACGAAUAAAGUCUGUUCUUUCCCCUAAAAAACGUAAACAAAACGAAGUUAUUAUACUUAAAAAAUGUAAAAGAAACGAAAAAGUUUUUUUUUCUUUAAAAAAAAGAGAGGUUCUCCAUCUCUAUUUCUAUUAAUAGAAACCAGCAUGUUCUCCAAGCUCAGGUCUGAAAUCUUUUUUUUUCUCGUAUGGAGCAAACCUUAGUAAGGCAGCAGAGCUGGUUUCAUUUUUUUUUCUUUACCAAGGCUUUUUAUUAAGAAUUAUUAUAUUUGUAUUUAUGUGAUUCAAAUCAUAACAAUAAGCAACUAGUUUUGAGAGCGAAUACAACAUAAAUUGCUAUGGAGUUUUCUUUUGUCAAAGUAAACAUAAUAUUUGAAGUACUUUCUGAUCAAAACCUUGGUGAAACGAAACAAAUUGCAUUAUAUUUUGGAAGAGAAGCAGCAGUACGAAUUUGUUACAACUAGACACAAUUAGACAGUGACCAUAGCAAGAAGAUUGUCAAGUGCAGUGCAAAAAAGAGUUGUCGUACUAAAAUUAUACAUGAAUCAUCGUAAGCAUAGUCAUUCUUUCCUCCCAUUACACACCGGGGUUUGUUGUGAGAGGUUUUCACCAAAUCAAAUGGAAUAAUUGAUAACGUCAAAGUUUAAUUUGAUUUUUAGGUGUUGGUACAAAAUUUAGAAUGAGGAGCGUUUCUUUUAGU